GAUGAACGCUAGCUACAGGCUUAACACAUGCAAGUCGAGGGGCAGCAUGGUCUUAGCUUGCUAAGGCCGAUGGCGACCGGCGCACGGGUGAGUAACACGUAUCCAACCUGCCGUCUACUCUUGGACAGCCUUCUGAAAGGAAGAUUAAUACAAGAUGGCAUCAUGAGUCCGCAUGUUCACAUGAUUAAAGGUAUUCCGGUAGACGAUGGGGAUGCGUUCCAUUAGAUAGUAGGCGGGGUAACGGCCCACCUAGUCUUCGAUGGAUAGGGGUUCUGAGAGGAAGGUCCCCCACAUUGGAACUGAGACACGGUCCAAACUCCUACGGGAGGCAGCAGUGAGGAAUAUUGGUCAAUGGGCGAGAGCCUGAACCAGCCAAGCAGCGUGAAGGAUGACUGCCCUAUGGGUUGUAAACUUCUUUUAUAAAGGAAUAAAGUCGGGUAUGGAUACCCGUUUGCAUGUACUUUAUGAAUAAGGAUCGGCUAACUCCGUGCCAGCAGCCGCGGUAAUACGGAGGAUCCGAGCGUUAUCCGGAUUUAUUGGGUUUAAAGGGAGCGUAGAUGGAUGUUUAAGUCAGUUGUGAAAGUUUGCGGCUCAACCGUAAAAUUGCAGUUGAUACUGGAUAUCUUGAGUGCAGUUGAGGCAGGCGGAAUUCGUGGUGUAGCGGUGAAAUGCUUAGAUAUCACGAAGAACUCCGAUUGCGAAGGCAGCCUGCUAAGCUGCAACUGACAUUGAGGCUCGAAAGUGUGGGUAUCAAACAGGAUUAGAUACCCUGGUAGUCCACACGGUAAACGAUGAAUACUCGCUGUUUGCGAUAUACUGCAAGCGGCCAAGCGAAAGCGUUAAGUAUUCCACCUGGGGAGUACGCCGGCAACGGUGAAACUCAAAGGAAUUGACGGGGGCCCGCACAAGCGGAGGAACAUGUGGUUUAAUUCGAUGAUACGCGAGGAACCUUACCCGGGCCUAAAUUGCAGAUGAAUUACGGUGAAAGCCGUAAGCCGCAAGGCAUCUGUGAAGGUGCUGCAUGGUUGUCGUCAGCUCGUGCCGUGAGGUGUCGGCUUAAGUGCCAUAACGAGCGCAACCCUUGUUGUCAGUUACUAACAGGUUCCGCUGAGGACUCUGACAAGACUGCCAUCGUAAGAUGUGAGGAAGGUGGGGAUGACGUCAAAUCAGCACGGCCCUUACGUCCGGGGCUACACACGUGUUACAAUGGGGGGUACAGAGGGCCGCUACCACGCGAGUGGAUGCCAAUCCCCAAAACCUCUCUCAGUUCGGACUGGAGUCUGCAACCCGACUCCACGAAGCUGGAUUCGCUAGUAAUCGCGCAUCAGCCACGGCGCGGUGAAUACGUUCCCGGGCCU
rnacentral:rRNA from 1 species